rnacentral:lncRNA from 1 species
AACAUGUGUUCAUACAUUCAUAUAAUUCCAAAAUCCUACCAACUGAAUGCAUAAAUUUUCUUUAUCUAUCCUACUGCCUCUUGCUAUUUUUUUUCUUCUCUUUUUUAGAAGCUUUGUUCUUGCAUUCCUAUUCGCUGUAGGAACCUCUAUUUAAUCUCACUCCUACACAGCUUUAGUUUUCCCAUUUCUUGUUUCCUCCAUUCUUCAAGAACUAGGUUGACUGGAUCGGGAUCACCCUCCUAU